rnacentral:rRNA from 1 species
AGAGUUUAAUCCUGGCUCAGGACGAACGCUGGCGGCGUGCCUAAUACAUGCAAGUCGAACGAAGCUUUCUUUCACCGAAUGCUUGCAUUCACCGAAAGAAGCUUAGUGGCGAACGGGCGAGUAACACGUAGGCAACCUGCCCAAAAGAGGGGGAUAACACUUGGAAACAGGUGCUAAUACCGCAUAACCAUGAACACCGCAUGAUGUUCAUGUAAAAGACGGCUUUUACUGUCACUUUUGGAUGGGCCUGCGGCGUAUUAACUUGUUGGUGGGGUAACGGCCUACCAAGGUGAUGAUACGUAGCCGAACUGAGAGGUUGAUCGGCCACAUUGGGACUGAGACACGGCCCAAACUCCUACGGGAGGCAGCAGUAGGGAAUCUUCCACAAUGGACGAAAGUCUGAUGGAGCAACGCCGCGUGAAUGAAGAAGGCCUUCGGGUCGUAAAAUUCUGUUGUCAGAGAAGAACGUGCGUGAGAGUAACUGUUCACGUAUUGACGGUAUCUGACCAGAAAGCCACGGCUAACUACGUGCCAGCAGCCGCGGUAAUACGUAGGUGGCGAGCGUUGUCCGGAUUUAUUGGGCGUAAAGGGAACGCAGGCGGUCUUUUAAGUCUGAUGUGAAAGCCUUCGGCUUAACCGAAGUAGUGCAUUGGAAACUGGAAGACUUGAGUGCAGAAGAGGAGAGUGGAACUCCAUGUGUAGCGGUGAAAUGCGUAGAUAUAUGGAAGAACACCAGUGGCGAAAGCGGCUCUCUGGUCUGUAACUGACGCUGAGGUUCGAAAGCGUGGGUAGCAAACAGGAUUAGAUACCCUGGUAGUCCACGCCGUAAACGAUGAGUGCUAAGUGUUGGAGGGUUUCCGCCCUUCAGUGCUGCAGCUAACGCAUUAAGCACUCCGCCUGGGGAGUACGGUCGCAAGACUGAAACUCAAAGGAAUUGACGGGGGCCCGCACAAGCGGUGGAGCAUGUGGUUUAAUUCGAAGCAACGCGAAGAACCUUACCAGGUCUUGACAUCUUCUGACAAUUCCAGAGAAGGAACGUUCCCUUCGGGGACAGAAUGACAGGUGGUGCAUGGUUGUCGUCAGCUCGUGUCGUGAGAUGUUGGGUUAAGUCCCGCAACGAGCGCAACCCUUAUUGUCAGUUGCCAUCAUUAAGUCGGGCACUCUGGCGAGACUGCCGGUGACAAACCGGAGGAAGGUGGGGAUGACGUCAAAUCAUCAUGCCCCUUAUGACCUGGGCUACACACGUGCUACAAUGGACGGUACAACGAGUCGCUAACUCGCGAGGGCAAGCUAAUCUCUUAAAGCCGUUCUCAGUUCGGAUUGCAGGCUGCAACUCGCCUGCAUGAAGUCGGAAUCGCUAGUAAUCGCGAAUCAGCAUGUCGCGGUGAAUACGUUCCCGGGCCUUGUACACACCGCCCGUCACACCAUGAGAGUUUGUAACACCCAAAGUCGGUGGGGUAACCUUUUGGAGCCAGCCGCCUAAGGUGGACAGAUGAUUGGGGUGAAGUCGUAACAAGGUA